CAGGGUUAGCAAACACGACUUGUGUGAGUGAGUGUGUGUAUGUACGUGUGUGUGUGUGUUAUAGCAAGCUCUACUCCAGCACCAGGGUUAGCAAACACGACUUGUGUGAGUGAGUGUGUGUAUGUACGUGUGUGUGUGUUAUAGCAAGCUCUACUCCAGCACCAGGGUUAGCAAACCAUUAGUAAAGUAAUCAUCAGUGUUUCCAUGUGCUGUGUAAAUGCCUAACAAGCGGCACUUUCACUUCUCUGUUCAAGGAACAUAUACCAAGUGCGCAUGCUCAAAAGCACGUGUUCAAAUCAAAACUGUUAAAAUCCCCGUAAACCAAUACAAGUGCGAUUUGUACCAUGAUGUGAACUCGGCGUCAUCUGCGCUAAUGACAACACGGAAUGACUGACUAGCGGUUUCGGCGUCGUUCUUCACCCUCAGAGGGGAAAAUCACGGAAAACAAAUACACACAAACCUCUUACAAUCGGCUUUGUGUUUACAAAUAGGAAUAUUUAUAGUAAGGGAUAUUAUUUAAGCGUGUAAAAUGUAACGAACACACUUAUUGAAAACGAGCUUUUUUUGUUAAUAAAGGAAGUUAAAAUCACGCCCCCCCUCCUUUUUGUGAAAUGGUUCAGUCCGCUUUUCUGGACUGUGCUGCGGUGCCACAUCGCUGCGCUGCUGCGUUAACAGAAGAUCAUCCACAAUUACGCGUCGCUCUUAAACACUGAUGUUUUGUUGACAAAACCCGCUUUAUAUGAGACUUCUGCUGCGAUUCAUAUCGUUUUUUGAAAGAUAAAAUAUUUCGUUUUUGUGUGUAAGGGCGGCUGAAGGCUGGCAUUGAGUGUGAUGUGUAGAAGAAACCUGACAUGAGGUGUGUUGUGAAGACAACAGCUGAUAGAACAGUGGACUGAGAUUUAUAUCAUCAUAACUGACCUCAGUUUUACAUGUACAUCAUCAGCUCUCUGGACCUGCUCCAUCUCCUACUGAGAUUAUUUUGUAACGUUGAAAUUAAAGUUCUUAUUAUUUGAAUAUAGCCGUAUAGAGGAUUCCAAACAUCUACCAGAAUUUAAAAUGCUGGACUCCAAAACGAAGGACUUGUGUCGUAUCUGUGCACGAGAGCUGUACGGUAACCAACGCCGAUGGAUCUUCAACCCGACGGCCAAGCUGAGCCUGCAGGUGUUACUGUCGCACGCUGUGGGCAGGAUGCUGUCCCGUGACGGGCGAAGAGAGUUUGCCUGCAGUAAAUGUGCCUUCAUGCUGGAUCGCAUGUAUCGCUUCGACACGGUGAUAGCCCGUGUCGAGGCUUUGUCCAUCGAACGAAUGCAGAAGCUUCUUCUGGAGAAAGAAAGACUUCGGCAGUGCAUAGGAGGACUAUACCGCAAAAACAACCCAGAAGAAAUCGACUCAGAAGUUGUUAAAUCCACAGCAGAGGCUUCACUGGUAGACACUCCAGCACCGUCCGAUGCCAAGUACAGCUCUCUGUUAGAAGAGGAUCUGACCUACUCUGUGUACGAGUGCUGGGCUGAGCAUGAGACAGGUCCGCACCAACAAGCUGCACAUCACCACCACCACCACCACCAGUGCCACGCGGGAUCUGAAGCUAGCACAGCACAGCGCUCCAGGAAGUGCAAAGGAUGCACCACGUUGCGAGUGGCUGAUUCUGACUAUGAAGCCAUCUGUAAAGUGCCCAGGAAGGUGACCUCAUGUGGACCCUCAUCCCGCUACUCUGCUAGCAAUCUUGCUAGCACAGAAGAGACGUGCCCUGAAUCAGAAUCUCAAGAGCCAGCCGCUCAGUCAUUCGGUCUGACGGAGGUCAGUCAAACUGUGGAAAUUGCUGAGGAGGAGAACGUCAGUCUCAGUCCGGCAUCCUCGAUUGAAUCACUGGAAGCCACGGGUGACAUCAGUCAGACCUGCUCACUGGUCCAUGCAGACCUCCUGCAGGGACCGAUGGAGGAGGAGAAAGUCAUGACCCGGAGCUCCAGUACAGAGCAGAGCCCUAAAACAGGAAUGGAGCUGGCACUCAGCUUGGUCAAAAGCUUUGCGUGUCGUCCAGUGCGGGUUUUAAGAGGCAGCCGACUGCCUGUCCUGAUCAAACCUGAGGCCACACACCAGUCUCCACAAGCGGCGAUGGACUGUUCUUUCUCUCUCCAGCCUGAAGAUAUGGUUCCUCUCUGCAUCCAGCAGGAACUUCAGCUGGAACUGGCUGAGAUCGAGGCACUUUGGAUGGAUGAUUAUGUUCCAUGUGGGCCUCUGGGCUUUCAGGAGAAGCUGAUUGCGGAGCAGCAGGUUCAGCUGGUGCAGUAUGAGAAUGCAGCAGGUCAGUGUGUGACUGAGCUACAGAAGGCGCAGCUACAGGUGCAGUCUCUCCAGACUAAGAUCCGAGAGAGUGAAGCAAACAACAAGGAGCUGCAGCAGAGGCUUGGAGUUCUAGAGAGUGAGCUGUUUUCUUUGCGGGAGACAUCUCGAGGUCGGGAAAGGACGAUCCAGAUUCUAAGCGACUCUCUUAGCACUAAGGACAACGAGAUUGCUGACCUCCACCAGCUCACAGAGGAACAGAAGCAGCUUUUGAUUUCUCUGAAGCAGCAGAACCUGCAAACAUCCACUACAGCACCCAGUCCGCUGCAGGCCGAGCUGUUAGAGCUUCAGGCCUCUUUAUUUUCAACGCAGCUAGAGCUGCAGAGCGUCCAGGGAGCGCAGCGCCAGGCCCACAGGAGAGAGGACGAGCUGACGCGUAACAACCAGCGUCUCCUCGCCGAUCUCCAGGAGGAGCAACGACAUCACCGGGAAGCCGAGAUACACAAUCAGGAGCUGCUCACAGCUCUGCAGAGAUCGCGCUCAGACCUAGAACAGAUGGAAGAGAAGUGGAAGGAGGGAAAGGGAGACAAAGAGAGAGAGGUGGAGGAAAGAGAGAGAACCAUCAGGGAGCUGAACGCCAGACUGCAGCACAAAGAGCGUCUGCUACACGACUACACCGAACUGCUGGACGGACAGAAAGAAGCAGGAGCAAACAGAGACGUCCUCAUUCACAAGCUCAAGCUGCGCAUUCAGGAGAGAGACAGAGCUCUGGAGCGCGCAGUCGACGAGAGGUUUGUGUGUGUGGAGCAGAAGGAGGCCGAGGUGCGAAAGUUGCAGCUGCUCCUCCGAGAGAAGGAGAGAGACCUGCAGAAAGUGCGCUGUGUGCUGUCCAACAACGAGGAGACCAUUACGAGUUUGGAGUUGUUGUUGCGAGGUAAAUCUGUACAGCUGGAGCAGGUGAGUGAAGCCUGGAGAAGCAGCCAGCGUGUCCAGCGUGAGUGUGAGGACAGACACAACUCCAGCCUGAGAGACAGAGACACACUCAUCAGCCAGCUCCAGACAACACUACACACACGCACAAAAGAAGCCGAGGAGAUCACAGCUGCUGUCUUCAGUAAGGUGCCUCUGAGCUCCAGCGAGGUCGUGGAGAAGCUGAAAGCUCAGUUGCAAGUAAAGGAGCGACUUUUCCAGGAGCUGCUGACGGAACACAGCCGCCAGACACAGGAGCACCACACACACAUCCAGGAGCUGCUUAAUGCCAUGCGCACCAGGGAGCAGUGUGUCAAGGAUGCAGCAGAGCGAGCGGGUCAGGUCAUGUCGGAGCAGACGACACGUCUGCAGGAGCUGCGCAGGCAGGUGGUGUCUGCAGGAAGCGGAUCAUCCAGUACCUCAGAGCUUCCUGAAGACGUGCAGCUCGUCCGAGAGGAGCUCCAGCUGAUGCUCUCCAAACAGGGGGAGGCACAGAGAGAGUUGUCCAUCCUGCGCUCUGCCUUAGGAAACAACCAGAAGCAGCUCCAGAGCCAGACUGCACUCACGAGUAAACCUGAGUGUGCGGUUACUAUGGAGACGGAGCAGGCGGCGGCCGGCUCACACACCGAUACUGGAGACUCCACUUCAGAUGUAGAAGAGGAGGAAGACGAUGGUGCGAGUGAAUUCCUAGAGAGUACUGAAGAAGAGGAGCCAUGCAGAGUGACAGCACAGGCUUUAGCCAAUACGCAGGGCUACGAGCAACACGGAGAAGCCGAGACACCUCAGACUCUUGCAGAGGUGGAGGGUUCGGGGCUGGUUGAGGUGAAGCUGUUAGUGGAACAGAAGCAGGCGGUGGAGCGGGAACUGUGGGAACUGAAGGCCCAGCUGGAGAAGGCUGGCUUCACCUCUUUCUCUCAGAUGAGGAAAGCGUUGCUCAGCCUGCGUUCGGAAAACGAAGCGCUCCGAAACUCGAUGCGGACCAACGGGGCAGAGGAGGAAACACACAGACUGUCAGACGAGCAGAGAGGAAGAGGAGUGCAGUGGCAGCCUGAGUCCUGUGAGGGCAAGAAGAGAAGCAGCAGAGUGCUUUGUCUCGACCCGGGAACUCAACUUUCCCUCGCCACACAGGCAGGAAAGCUGCAGGAGAGGCUACUGGUGUCUAAAAGCCCAACACAAACCCAAGCAGAGAUGCUCAGAGGCUACAGAGAACAAUUUGUGAAGCAUGACAGCAAGCAGGUACAGGUGGACCUGCAGGAUCUGGGCUACGAGACAUGUGGUCGCAGUGAGAACGAGGCUGAGAGAGAAGACACCAGCAGCCCAGAAUUUGACGAUCUCGAGCUGUGCACGUCUCUGUCGUGUCGAGACGGCACGUCCCACUGGUGGUCUGGUCUGGGUGCUGGGAGCCGAGCAGGAGCUGAUGUUGCAUCUCUGCAGCAGCAGGUGGAGGAUCUGCAGGUGCAGCUUUCUCGCUCUCAGGCUUUGGUGCUCAGCCUGCAGACUCGCCUUCAGGAUGCCACUCCAAAUUCCACCCCCCGAAAGUCGAACCGGGACGACAGAGAGCUGCGGGAACUGGUGACGCGUGUGUCGUCUCUGGAGGAACAGCUCAGGAAGGGUAAAGGUCAAGCACAGCAGGAGGAGGCCAAGAGCACUACCAGGACCGGGAAGUUUGACACACUGAUCCAGGCUCAAGCUCGUGAGCUCUCUCACCUGAGGCAGCGAAUGCGUGAGGGCCGGAGUGUGUGUCACAUCCUCACACAACACCUGGGAGACACCACCAAAUCCUUUGAGGAGUUGCUGAGGGCCAACGACAUCGACUACUACAUGGGCCAGAGCUUCAGAGAUCAACUCGCUCAGAGCUCAUCACUGGCACAGAGAGUCGGAGCCAAGAUCAGCAGCCGUGAUUAUUCCGAAGCAGCAGAUGACAGCACAGGUCAUGAAUUGCUGGCGAUCCGGUUAAGUAAAGAGCUCCAGCAGAAAGAUAAGCUCAUCGAGUCACUGCGCUUUAAACUCCAGCAGCAGCAGCAGCAGCAGCAGCAGCCCGGUGCAGCUUCAUCCACCACCAUCCCCUCACUCUCUGACCGGUCAGAGCGUGCGUCCUUCGUCAUGGAUGAACAGGGUUCCACUAAUGCAGACCUGGACCUGUGCUCAGAGCUGGACACAGUCAGUGAUUUUGGCCAAGAGGAUGUCGCUGAUGGCUCUCUGCCUCCUGCGCCGUCACACACGUAUCCAUCCAAGCCUCCAUCCGUCGCUUCUUCACACGGCCACCGGUCCUCCGGCACCUGUCCCAGCAUGCACUGCUCCUCUCCCAGGCUCAUGGACGGACAAAUACAAACAGAGCUCAGUUCUCCUCACUUACCCCAGAAACCCCAAUGCCUCUCUGCUCAGAUGGCUUUUCUACCAUUUGACCCCCACAUACAUCACCUGAGACCCCGCUCUAGCACCACAACGGGUUUCUCUCUGGCUGAGGUGCACCAGGAGCUGCAGAGGCUGCAGAGGCAGUUAGCGAACAGUUUUAGCGGCGCUCAGAUCAAACCCAUGCCAGGAGUCUUCCAGCCGUCUGACCUCGCUGACUUUCACCUACCGUCCCAGCAUGCCUUUCAGCAGUCUCCUUUUACCAGCCUUCAUCCUAGCCCCAAUAUCUCAUAUGGAGCUCCACAAAAGAGAGACAGCUCUAAUCAUGAUGUUUCCUCAAGCUCAUCGGGUUAUCGGUCCGGUGCACGUCACACAGAGACCGACUUGAUGAAGGAGCACCUGAGGGAGAUCCGCAGUCUCCAUCGACGUCUUGAAGAUUCCAUCCAGACCAACGAACAUCUGAGACAGCAACUGGCAGAAAGACUCGGCUCCAAGAUACAAGACGGAGGUGCUCCUACAAACAUCUACAUCCAGGGUCUCGACUCGGUCGGUCAGCUGUCUAAUGAGGUACGAGUGCUUAAGGAGGAGAAUCAGGCUCUCCAGAGUCAGCUCCAGCAGGCCAGCAGAGACGGCAUGAAACAGGCGGAGCAGAUGCGGGAUGCGGUUUUAUCCGAGCACACCAAGCUGAAGCAGGCGGAGAUGGAAGCGGAAAAGUGGGCGGGUCAAUUCAGGCAGGCGCAAGCUCGGCUGCGAGAGCAGGCGCAAGCAAUUCUGCAGCUGAAGCAGGACAAACAGAUGAGCCUGGAGAAUGCUAACAGGCUCCAGCAUGAAGUUACUGUUCUCCAGCAGCAGCUGAGCGAGAGCAGGCGACUCGCGCAUACGCUUCAGUGUGAACUACAGAUAUACCAGAGGUUACAUGGCACCAGCCUAAAUGACAGCGAAGAACCAGAAGCGCCGGAGCUGACGUCUCACUCGCGCAUGCUGGAUCCGGAGGUGCUUCGCUUCUCAGCUAGAAAACGCCUUUUUCAUGACUCGCCUCAGUCUCCUCCUGGAAUACUCAUAAAUCAAGCAUCAUCCGUCUCUUCUCGGCUUCAUUCCUCUCUUACCGCAGGGUGUCGUGAGGGUGAAGUCUCGGCUGGCCCGUGCGCCUGCAGGACAGGGUGUUAUGUGGUGGGCCACUGGGACGACUUCAGCACCCUACAGCAGCGGCUCAUGGAGGGUAAAGUGCUGGUCUGUAAGAUGGAGGCAGCUCUGCAGUCCAGCGUGGAGAUCAACCUGCAUGAGGGUCAUGUAAACAACAUACUGACCAGCACUGAGACCUUAAAGCAGAUUCUGGAGGAGAUGUGUUCUCUCCUCGGAAUGUUCUGGAGGGAUAACGCUCUCCCAAACGCUGAGACCACAUCAUCACAGCCUCAGAAGGAGCAAACUUUGAUGGAAGAAGUUGUCUCUCUGAAGCACAAGCUUGCUGAACAGGAAAAGACUCUAAGGGAUACGUUGGAGAGCCUGAGAGACACAAACCGCACCAAAGACAGCAUGGAGCAAUUCAUCUUCAGCCAACUGUCCAGGACACGAGACGUGCUGAAAAAAGCUCGCACAAACCUUGAGAAGAAUGAGCUCAGGAUCAACUCUUUAGGCUGCUCCUCCUUUUCUCCUCCCUCUCCCCAGUCUUUCUCCUUCACUCCUCCCUGGGCUACCAGAGGUGAAGUCUCAAACACAGGACCGAGAAGCUCUUCAACCGGACCGAGGAUCGUGAUCGCAUCGGGUCAUCACCCACACACGCGAGUCUCAUGUGCAGCACAGCGCCCUCUAUAGACGUUCUCAAGCGGUGCUCGAUCAACCCACUGCAUCGUGAACGAACCUCUGCGUUUUAAAGCUUUAGAAACAUCCCUGGUUGUUGGUGCUCAGGAAUCAUCAGCAGCAGUGCCUGUAAAGUCGAUGUAAUCCAAACCAGAUAGACGUAGAAGGAAAAACACAGGAAUUUUGUCCUGAGGCAAAACAAUCAGCCGUAGAAGCUGUCAAUCAUCAGCUGCUGCACUUCUGCUGUUCAAUAUCUCAUUAAGCAUGCGAUCGACUUGGACAUGCCACACUGCGUUCACUGGAAGGCUGAAUUUCAGCAUGGACUCCUGACAUCCUGUUUGACGUCUACUGUACAAAACACAGACCUGCAUCGAUAGUGUUUACUGCUGCGCUUUACAUAAAACGACCGCAUCCAUCUGAGUCACACUCACUGGGGGAAGUGUGCCGAUUCGUGCCAAUCCAUCACAUACUAUAGACGUCCUUUUGGACCUUUUUGUCGGUCAUUCUUUUAUAAACAUUCAAAAAGUGUGGUUUACAAUAGACUAAUGAGCUAUCAAGUAAAAUUCAACCAAAGUUAAAUAGUAAGCAAUACAAAGACAUGACCCACAGAUCAAUCAUGCUUCGGUAGAAACAGACCGAAUGUCAUUAUUGGCAUGGGAGUGUGUGUGUGUGUGUGUGUGUGUGUGUGUGAGAGAGAGAGAGAGAGAGAGAGACAGAGAGACUGUAGUCGUCACUGUGAUGUCUAUGUAGCAGUUGUUUUAAUAAAAAGGGGGAAUAUUAUAAUUACAACAAGACUUUUGUGUUCUUUAUCUCCUCCUGGAUUGAGCAGCAGACUUCACAUUCACACUGUUAAACUCUCACAAAACUUUCCCAAUUCUCCACAUCGGUCCAUACAGUGAAAUAUUAACUGCCUUGUGUGUGUGGAGUUUGCAUGUUUUCCCCGUGCCUCGGGGGUUUCCUCCGGGUACUCCGGUUUCCUCCCCCGGUCCAAAGACAUGCAUGGUAGGUUGAUUGGCAU